GACGAACGCUGGCGGCGUGCUUAACACAUGCAAGUCGAACGGAAAGGCCCUGCUCUUGUUGGGUUCUCGAUUGGCGAACGGGGGAGUAACACGUGAGUAACCUGUCCCUGUCUUUGGGAUAACUUUAGGAGACUGGGGCUAAUACCGCAUAGGAGCUCCUGCUGCAUGUUGGUGGUUGGAAAAUUUCGGCUGUUGGGGAUGGACUCGCGGCUUAUGAGCUUGUUUGUGAGGUAGUUGCUUACCAAGGCUUUGACGGGUAGCCCGCCUGAGAGGGUGAACGGCGUCAAGGGGCCUACGGUAGGGCGCAGAAGGGAACCGGAGGCAGUGGUGGGGAACCUUGCGGAAUGGGCGGACGCCUGAUGCAGAAACGCCGCGUGCGGGAUGCCGUCCUACGGGUUAUAAACAAAUUUCGAAGUUGACGAGGCGUGAGUGACGGUACUUGAUCAGAAAGCCACGGCUAACUACGUG
rnacentral:rRNA from 1 species